GAUUCAUGACAGGCAUUGGCAAUGGGAUUUUUCCCCCUCCUGGUAUGUUUAUUUCAAUAGAUUUAUGAAAUGUUUAGAGGCAAAAAAGAAUGAUAAUGGAUAGAUUUAUGGCGAAAUAAACCCACUAUUAGUGCUUCUAGGCACUUUGCUGUUUGUGAACAUGCUUUCUAAGAUAUUUGGAUCCUGCAUGGAUUUUGUGGUGUCCAUACAUAUUUGAAUGUCACUACACUGUUCUGAGCACAUUGCAUUUAUCUACAUUUAUCAGAAUAUAUUAUAAUCUGUUUUUUUGCUGCCAUCCUAUUUAUCAACCUGAAGAGGGCUACAUUGGGAUUCAAGAAUACUGGAAUCUAAUCCUAGUUCAACUUCCAAGUUUCCUACAAGCAGAAAAAAAAAAUGCAUGUUUUACUUUAACCACCAAUAAAAUUGGAAUACUCAAUCUUACCAUCUUAAUACCUGAAAUGUACAAGGUUAAAGAUACCUUAGAACACAUACUCAUCUUAAGACAGAUUCAGGUGAUCAAGCAAUGGAAUAGAAAUUUUAAUCGCAAUUACUUUUUUUCUUUUGGAUUUCCCUUGCCACUCACCUGGUCCAAUGGGGCUCAAAGUUACUUUGAAAUCAGUCUGAAUAUCUAAGUUAGACAAACAAAGAAAUGAUGUGAGCCUCCAUGGCCCCUUAAGCCUCCAACACUCCAACUCAUCUCAUUACCAAAAUCAACAAGCUCAAGCUCACCAUCAACACACACACACACACACACACACACACACCCCUGGACCCUUGAGAUCGCCUCUUACUGGUCUCAAAAUGGGAUUUUAUUCUGUUCUUCCACUAUGAAUUCCUUAUGCCUCAAAAUUUAUAUUCCCUUCAUUUUAAAUCUUACAAAUGUAUUUCUUAUUCUGUCUCUGGUCCGUCUGGUUCUUUUUCAGCUCUUGGUAGUUAAGCCUCAUGAUUU
rnacentral:lncRNA from 1 species